rnacentral:lncRNA from 1 species
AGGUAGAGAGAGGGCUUGCCUAUGAUAGGCAAGGACUCAGGUUCGAGCCCCAGCGCUGGAAGAAUCAGGAAAUUAAGUCAUGAAGUGGUGACUGGGCAGAUAAAGAGCCUUAGGAAGAAACUGCAUGUUUUGAGGAACAGAGCUGUGUCAGCAGAGUGUUUCACACAAAUAAACUGACUUUUGCAUUGAGAACGUGAAUCAACAGAUACCACAAGAUCAAAGUUCCCAGGCCCCCAAGUCCUUGAGGAAUUCAGGAAGGAAGCUAUUUAUAGUCAUUUCUCUAAGGAGGAAAUUGGAGAGUUGAGAUAUAUGCUUUCUCCUGCCAUCUUCAUGGCCUUCAUGUCCUGCUUCAGGACUCAGUGGGAAAUUCAGAGCCAGGAACUCUAGCCUAUGGAGUGAUACCACUCAAGUAGGGCGGUAUCAAUUAACAAUCAAGACAAAUCAAGACAAAUACCCCACAGGCAUGCUCACAGCCCAAUCUGACCUGGGCAGCCCUUCAGUUGAGACAUCCUAGAUAAAUUGCUUAUAUUUAUGUCUUUCAAGAACCUGCUUCAGGGGAAUUCAAAGUAGGAUAUCGGAGCAGUCAACUCAGUUGCCCAGGACUACAUGGCUGGAAUGAAUUUAUAUCAGUUUCCCCAAGACAAAACCUCAUGGGAGAGGCAGCUGGUUUCUCUGGCCUUUCCACCCCUAAGAAGUCUUCAGCAAAACCCUUGCCCUGUGGGAUUUAUAUGUUUAAUUCUGAGUUAAAACCCUUCAGUCUUGGGAUGGAUAGAUGGCUCAGUGGUUAAGAGCACUGGCUUCUCUUCCAGAGGGCCUGGGUUCGAUUUCCAGUACUCACAUGGCAGCUUACAGCUGUCUGUAGCUCCAAUUCCUAAGGAUUUGACAGCCUCACACAGGCACACAUUCGGGCAAAACGGCAAUGUGCAUAUAAACAACAACAACAACAACAACAACAACAACAAAACCCUUUAGUCUAAGGAGAAGAAACUGAUGGAAAACGAAGUGUUCCAUUAGCAUUAGCGUUCAGAAACGAGUAGAGCAAAGUUGUGUCCAGGCAGUAGCAGGGCUGCCUACCACAGAAGGCACAGUCCUCUGGGUGUUGGGGGCCACUUACUACAAAUCCUGGUUUUGAUGCUGACUCGAUGGAGGUGUGAAGCCUUGGGUGAUCUCGUUACCCUUCUAUCAGUUACCUUAUCUUAAAAGGGAUGAAAUUACAGUGCGGGCUGCAUCUCUGCUGGGAAGCUGCUCCACGCUGGGGCCUCGUCAGUGCAUUGAUCUCCUGCCGGAAGUGAAGCAUCUCGGGAAGCUGAAGCUUGUAAAAAGACCGGGCUUGCCUAGAUACCCGAGGCUUUGAGGUCCAGCUUGCCUAACAUACCCUGAGUUCUUCAUCCCCUGGCUUCUUGUCAUCCCUAAAUUGGUUUUACAGUUUGUGGGCUCCCAUUCUGCCACAGUGUCUGAAACUAAAUUAUGUACUAGCCAGUUCAAUAACUUUUCAAAGUAUGAAAACCGCAUAUGCUUGUGCAGAUGUGGUUACAGAAUUCUGAUGUGAGAAAGUUUUAUUUAUUUUUUUAAAUCAAUGUGUUGUCAUGGAUGAGUUGGUUAUUCAAGACCUAAUCAGUAGU